GGGCAUGUGGUGUAGUUGGUUAUCACGCUCGCUUAGCAUCUUGCCUUUGCAAGGUCGUGUGCGAGAGGGGUCCGGUUCGAUCCCGGACAUGUCCA